UACAGAGGGUGCGAGCGUUAAUCGGAAUUACUGGGCGUAAAGCGCGCGUAGGCGGCUUGUUAAGUCAAAUGUGAAAUCCCCGAGCUUAACUUGGGCAUUGCAUUCGAUACUGGCAAGCUAGAGUAUGGGAGAGGAAGGUAGAAUUCCAGGUGUAGCGGUGAAAUGCGUAGAGGUCUGGAGGAAUACCGAUGGCGAAGGCAACCUUCUGGCCUAAUACUGACGCUGAGGUGCGAAAGCAUGGGGAGCAAACAGG
rnacentral:rRNA from 1 species